rnacentral:rRNA from 1 species
UACGUAGGAUGCAAGCGUUGUCCGGAAUUAUUGGACGUAAAGAGCGCGCAGGCGGUCUGACAAGUCAGAUGUGAAAGAAGCCGGCUUAACCGGCAAGGGUCAUUUGAAACUGACAGACUAGAGUGCACAAGAGGAUAGUGGAAUUCCCGGUGUAGCGGUGAAAUGCGCAGAUAUCGGGAAGAACACCCGUGGCGAAGGCGGCUCUCUGGGACGGUACUGACGCUGAGACGCGAAAGCGUGGGGAGCGAACAGG